rnacentral:rRNA from 1 species
GAUGACGCAGUUCUUCAGGAGCNUAUNCUACACGGGUCGAACGGCAGCACAGCCGUAGCAAUACUGUGGGUGGCGAGUGGCGGACGGGUGAGGAAUACAUCGGAAUUUGCCCUGUCGUGGGGGAUAACGUAGGGAAACUUACGCUAAUACCGCAUACGACCUUACGGUGAAAGCGGGGGAUCGCAAGACCUCGCGCGGCUGGAGAAGCCGAUGUCAGAUUAGCUAGUUGGCGGGGUAAAGGCCCACCAAGGCGACGAUCUGUAGCUGGUCUGAGAGGAUGAUCAGCCACACUGGGACUGAGACACGGCCCAGACUCCUACGGGAGGCAGCAGUGGGGAAUAUUGGACAAUGGGCGCAAGCCUGAUCCAGCAAUGCCGCGUGUGUGAAGAAGGCCUUCGGGUUGUAAAGCACUUUUAUCUGGAACGAAAUCUGCAGGGCUAAUACCCAUGCAGUCUGACGGUACCAGAGGAAUAAGCACCGGCUAACUUCGUGCCAGCAGCCGCGGUAAUACGAAGGGUGCAAGCGUUACUCGGAAUUACUGGGCGUAAAGCGUGAGUAGGUGGUUUCUUAAGUCUGCUGUGAAA